rnacentral:rRNA from 1 species
UAGGGAAUCUUCGGCAAUGGGGGGAACCCCGACCGAGCAACGCCGCGUGAGUGAAGAAGGUUUUCGGAUCGUAAAGCUCUGUUGUUAAGGAAGAACGAGUGUGAGAAUGGAAAGUUCAUACUGUGACGGUACUUAACCAGAAAGGGACGGCUAACUACGUGCCAGCAGCCGCGGUAAUACGUAGGUGGCAAGCGUUGUCCGGAUUUAUUGGGCGUAAAGCGAGCGCAGGCGGUCAAUUAAGUCUGAUGUGAAAGCCCCCGGCUCAACCGGGGAGGGUCAUUGGAAACUGGUUGACUUGAGUGCAGAAGAGGAGAGUGGAAUUCCAUGUGUAGCGGUGAAAUGCGUAGAUAUAUGGAGGAACACCAGUGGCGAAGGCGACUCUCUGGUCUGUAACUGACGCUGAGGCUCGAAAGCGUGGGUAGCAAACAGG